rnacentral:rRNA from 1 species
CGGCGGCCGUAACUAUAACGGUCCUAAGGUAGCGAAAUUCCUUGUCGGGUAAGUUCCGACCUGCACGAAUGGCGUAAUGAUGGCCAGGCUGUCUCCACCCGAGACUCAGUGAAAUUGAACUCGCUGUGAAGAUGCAGUGUACCCGCGGCAAGACGGAAAGACCCCGUGAACCUUUACUAUAGCUUGACACUGAACAUUGAGCCUUGAUGUGUAGGAUAGGUGGGAGGCUUUGAAGUGUGGACGCCAGUCUGCAUGGAGCCGACCUUGAAAUACCACCCUUUAAUGUUUGAUGUUCUAACGUGGACCCGUAAUCCGGGUUGCGGACAGUGUCUGGUGGGUAGUUUGACUGGGGCGGUCUCCUCCUAAAGAGUAACGGAGGAGCACGAAGGUUGGCUAAUCCUGGUCGGACAUCAGGAGGUUAGUGCAAUGGCAUAAGCCAGCUUGACUGCGAGCGUGACGGCGCGAGCAGGUGCGAAAGCAGGUCAUAGUGAUCCGGUGGUUCUGAAUGGAAGGGCCAUCGCUCAACGGAUAAAAGGUACUCCGGGGAUAACAGGCUGAUACCGCCCAAGAGUUCAUAUCGACGGCGGUGUUUGGCACCUCGAUGUCGGCUCAUCACAUCCUGGGGCUGAAGUAGGUCCCAAGGGUAUGGCUGUUCGCCAUUUAAAGUGGUACGCGAGCUGGGUUUAGAACGUCGUGAGACAGUUCGGUCCCUAUCUGCCGUGGGCGCUGGAGAACUGAGGGGGGCUGCUCCUAGUACGAGAGGACCGGAGUGGACGCAUCACUGGUGUUCGGGUUGUCAUGCCAAUGGCACUGCCCGGUAGCUAAAUGCGGAAGAGAUAAGUGCUGAAAGCAUCUAAGCACGAAACUUGCCCCGAGAUGAGUUCUCCCUGAGACUUAGAGUCUCCUGAAGGAACGUUGAAGACGACGACGUUGAUAGGCCGGGUGUGUAAGCGCAGCGAUGCGUUGAGCUAACCGGUACUAAUGAACCGUGAGGCUUAACCUUACAACGCCGAAG